GAAAGUCUUCCGGUUCCGGGGGAAGUAUGGUUGCAAAGCUGAAACUUAAAGGAAUUGACGGAAGGGCACCACCAGGAGUGGAGCCUGCGGCUUAAUUUGACUCAACACGGGGAAACUCACCCGGCCCGGACACCGUAAGGAUUGACAGAUUGAUAGCUCUUUCAUGAUUCGGUGGUUGGUGGUGCAUGGCCGUUCUUAGUUCGUGGAUCGAUUUGUCUGGUUUAUUCCGAUAACGAGCGAGACUCUAGCCUACUAAAUAGUAACGAGAUUAUCAAUGUCUCAGUUGCUUCUUAGAGGGAUUUUCGGUGUUUAGCCGCACGAGAUUGAGCAAUAACAGGUCUGUGAUGCCCUUAGAUGUCCGGGGCUGCACGCGCGCUACACUGGCGAAAUCAGCGUGCUGUAUCCAUUCUCGAAAGGGAUUGGUAAACCCAUGAAAAUUUGCCGUGCUUGGGAUCGGAAAUUGCAAUUAUUUUCCGUGAACGAGGAAUUCCAAGUAAGUGCGAGUCAUCAACUCGCUCUGAUUACGUCCCUG
rnacentral:rRNA from 1 species